GACCUCGGCCAUGCUACCCUGAGCAAGCCCGAUCCCGUCUGAUCUCGGAAGCUAAGCAGGGUCGGGCCUGGUUAGUACUUGGAUGGGAGACCACCUAAGAAGACCAGGUGCUGUAGGCC
rnacentral:rRNA from 1 species